rnacentral:rRNA from 1 species
GACGAACGCUGGCGGCGUGCUUAACACAUGCAAGUCGAACGGACAGGCCCUGCUUUUGUGGGGUGCUCGAGUGGCGAACGGGUGAGUAACACGUGAGUAACCUGCCCUUGACUUUGGGAUAACUUCAGGAAACUGGGGCUAAUACCGGAUAGGAGCUCCUGCUGCAUGGUGGGGGUUGGAAAGUUUCGGCGGUUGGGGAUGGACUCGCGGCUUAUCAGCUUGUUGGUGGGGUAGUGGCUUACCAAGGCUUUGACGGGUAGCCGGCCUGAGAGGGUGACCGGCCACAUUGGGACUGAGAUACGGCCCAGACGCCUACGGGAGGCAGCAGUGGGGAAUAUUGCACAAUGGGCGGAAGCCUGAUGCAGCAACGCCGCGUGCGGGAUGACGGCCUUCGGGUUGUAAACCGCUUUCGCCUGUGACGAAGCGUGAGUGACGGUAAUGGGUAAAGAAGCACCGGCUAACUACGUG